CCCUUGUACACACCGCCCGUCACAUCACGAAAGUGGACUGCACUAGAAGCCGGUUCGCUAACCCGCAAGGGGGGUAACCGUCCAAGGUAUGGUUCAUGAUUGGGGUG
rnacentral:rRNA from 1 species